GGGGCGCCUCGGUCGUUGUCGUCGGUGGCGUCUGGGGGCCAGUCGGGUCGGCGAGACGGUCGGUUUGUUUGCCUGCCUGCCUGCCUGUCAGUCGCCGAGCGGGGUGGUUGGCCGCGUCGGCGUAGAGGCCGGGGAGCGCGUGAGGAGGAGGGGGGCUGCGCCGGCAGGCUCGAGGGAAGGGUGAGAGGAGCGCGCGCGCGCGGGGUCCGGUCUCGAGGCCAGCCAGGGAGCGAGCGAGGCUGAGGCGAUGGCGGACGUCCUGAGCGUGCUGCGCCAAUACAACACCCAGAAGAAGGAGAUUGUGGUGAAAGGGGACGAAGUGAUCUUCGGCGAGUUCUCUUGGCCCAAGAAUGUCAAGACCAACUAUGUCAUCUGGGGGACAGGAAAAGAAGGCCAGCCAAGGGAAUACUAUACUUUGGAUUCAAUUUUGUUUCUGUUGAAUAACGUGCAUCUUUCACAUCCUGUCUAUGUCCGUCGUGCUGCAACUGAAAACAUUCCUGUUGUGAGAAGACCUGACCGAAAAGAUCUCCUUGCCUAUUUAAAUGGAGAAAAUUCAACGUCAUCGAGUAUAGACAGAAGUGCACCACUAGAAAUAGGCCUUCAGCGAUCCACUCAAGUUAAAAGAGCAGCUGAUGAAAUAUUAGCAGAAGCCAAAAAACCAAGAAUAGAGGAUGAAGAAUGUGUACGUCUUGACAAGGAACGGCUGGCAGCACGGCUGGAGGGUCAUAAGGAAGGCAUUGUGCAAACAGAGCAGAUCAGAUCCUUAUCUGAAGCCAUGUCUGUGGAAAAGAUUGCUGCUAUCAAAGCCAAAAUUAUGGCCAAGAAAAGGUCUACUAUUAAAACUGAUUUGGAUGAUGACAUAACUGCCCUUAAACAACGAAGUUUUGUUGAUGCAGAGGUUGAUGUAACUAGAGACAUUGUCAGCAGGGAAAGAGUGUGGAGGACAAGAACUACUAUUUUACAAAGCACAGGCAAGAACUUUGCCAAGAACAUUUUUGCAAUUCUUCAGUCAGUGAAAGCUAGAGAAGAGGGGCGUGCACCUGAACAACGACCAGCACCUAAUACUGCGCUAGUGGAUCCCACUUCAAGGAACAAGCAGCCUAUUCCAGCUGCAUACAACAGAUACGAUCAAGAAAGGUUUAGAGUUACAGAAGAGACGGAAGGUUUCAAGAUUGACACGACAGGCACCUAUCACGGAAUGACUUUGAAAUCUGUAACAGAAGGAGCUUCAGCACGGAAGACUCAAACCCCAGCAGCACAGCCUGUUACAAGGCCAGUCUCCCAAGCAAGGCCACCUCCAAAUCAGAAAAAAGGAUCUCGAACACCCAUAAUCAUUAUUCCAGCAGCCACAACCUCGUUAAUAACUAUGCUUAAUGCAAAAGAUCUUCUGCAGGAUCUGAAGUUUGUUCCAUCUGAUGAGAAGAAAAAACAAGGCUGCCAGCGAGAAAAUGAAACUUUAAUACAAAGAAGGAAAGACCAGAUGCAGCCUGGUGGAACUACAGUCAGUGUUACAGUGCCAUAUCGUGUGGUUGACCAGCCUCUAAAACUUAUGCCUCAAGACUGGGACCGUGUUGUGGCUGUGUUUGUACAGGGUCCUGCUUGGCAGUUCAAAGGCUGGCCAUGGUUGCUACCUGAUGGAUCACCUGUUGAUAUUUUUGCAAAAAGGCAUGCUUGAUGUACUUUGAAAAGUAGACCUGAAUGAAGAUAAACUCUUACAACAUGAAAAGCAACAUGACAAACUGUCCUCUGAUCUAAGAUAAUUGCACCAUUCACCUCAUUGUCAAUCUGUUUAAGAAGCCCCAAAGUGUACUAGUGUAGUAUUUUUCAUUUUUAUAACUUACUUGACCUCCGCAGCACUCGUGAAGCUAAUGCCUUUAGCUUGAAUAAAAAUUUCCCUGCAACGACAAGGCUAUGUAUCCACACAAUCACACAGAAGAUAGAACAAAUGUUGGCUUAUUUUUUCCUAGUUGAAAGUGUUCAGAUUUGCUGGUUGUGUGGCUGCAUUUAUCUGUAUACUCUGAGGCAUACAUGCAGUUCCUUCCAAAGGUUUGAGGAUAGUUUGCAAGAAGUUUCUCUUUCCCUCUCCCCCUGCACAGUCUUGUAUAAGAUCAAUUGAUCUGUCCAAGAGAUCACCUAGUGAUCUUAAAGUAUGAGUGAGGACUUGAACCUGCAUUUCCUCAGUCUAUGAUAAACACUUACCCUCUAGAACAUGUCAGCUCUAGAGCCAUGGGAGAUGUGGAGAUGUCAGUGAGCUCACAAUUGGCUUCAUGUGAAAAUUCCUUUAACUUCAGAUGAUUUAACUUCUGUAAUUUGUAGUGUAUAAGAGGCUGCCUGUGUUGUCAACAGGCAAGGGGUCUUUUUUAAGAGGAUUGGGAGUCUAUAUGCACACUAAUAGGGGAAGACUAAAGAAGAUUUAAGCAGCACACUUUUGCUCUUUUUUUCUGUUAGCAAGCGACAAACGUUUAUCGCUUAUGUUGUUCUACAACCAGCCUGCAAUCAGUGUAAUUCACUGAUGCUUUCUGAGGAAUUCCAGACAGCGUAAGAGGUGUCAGGACUAAAAUAUUUGUCAUUUGUUAAUAAAAUAUGUGGCCUUCAUUCCAUUAGUGUACUUAAUUGCCUCCGAAUCCUCUCUGAAAACAGUCGUGGCCUGUUAGCAACACUGUUCCCACAGUGAUGGAAAUCAGUUUGCCAUCACAGCUAUUGGGAUAGCCAGGGAUUUACCAGUUUAAAUAGAUGGAUUCACUGCACCAUACUGGCUUUCUGUCUCAUGAUAUACACACACACUCCUGGAGCAACUGGGAUUCACCAUGUGAGGACUUUGUGUUUUCUUCUUCUUUUUUAUCUUGUCUAUAAUGCAUUUGGAUUUUAGGAGUUACAGUUUAAUUGUUGCACCACUUCUCUCCACAUUUUAGUUAAAGCUUUCCAUCUUAAAUACGAUGAAGUUCGUCUAGAUCCAAAUGUCCAGAAAUGGGAUGUAACAGUGUUAGAACUCAGUUAUCACAAGAGGCAUUUGGACAGACCAGUGUUCCUACGUUUCUGGGAAACAUUGGACAGGUAUAUGGUAAAGCACAAAUCCCACUUGAGAUUCUGAAUUCUUGACUUCCAUUCUGUUUUCAUAAACCUUGGAUCGAGGACUUUGAAACCUACUCCGGUCUAGAGAGGAAAAUUCUGCCUGUCUACAUUUUUCAAGAACAUUAUACAGAUAACGAAGGGAGUCAUUGUUUAAUCUUUUACUAAAUCUUGUGGGAUUACCAUGUUGCAGUGACUGACCUGGCGAGUAGUCAUUCUUACAAGCGAGGAAUUUUGCUUAAAACUAUUUUUAAGAGCAUAAACCUAGCCUGCAAUUCAAAUUGUAUAUUUUGAUAGCAGCCAUUUCCCCCCAUUUUGUUAAAUUAGAAAUGUUUUUACAAUAACUUUUUUGUUCUUCAAUAGAAUAUAGGUUGAUUUUCCUGGAAGGUUAUGAACGUGUGUGUGUAUGUGUGUGUGUAGAGAGAGAGAGAUAGAUGUUCUAAACCACUUCACUUUUGAAUAUAGUUCUUGGUUCUUUGCUUUACUGUUUCACUUGUGAAAAACCUUUUGUUUCAGUUGGUAUUAUCUUUUAGUCUAAAGAACUCUAGGAACUGAGCAAAGUGAAGACUGCUUUAGAUAAAUCAAAUUGUCAGCCUGUAUAUGUACUGUAUAUUCUUUCAGUCUUUGGAAAAGGGAUGGAAAUAAUAUGCAAAAUUGUUUCUUUUGUUAUGAUGAUAGUUUACCAAAACUGUAAAAAGAAUCAUUAUGAAUACAUUUGAAUUAUAACAUUCUUCAUGGAAAGUGUUUGAUUUUAAAUUGUGUGUGCAUAUGUCCCCACAUUGAAGUUUGUAUACACAAAAAUAUAACAGACAUUUGGGGCAUUAAGGAUUUUGUAAAAUUAGAAUUGGCAGAAUGCAGUCAUGGAAAACAGUUCUUCUUUUCCCAGUAGACUUUAGAUCAUUGCAUUCUUUGAUGUGUUCUUACAUUACCUUGGCAGUCUGGGAACCAAAGCUGUCCAUAGAGAGGAGCUCAUCCUCCUCACUUUUCCUACACUUCAGGUCACCCUUAAUUCAGAUUUACAAGUUUAAAGCUGGUGCAGUGCUCUCUCUGUGGGUAACGUGGGAGGGGGUCUUAUUGAAUACUGCCAAGAUAAGAUAGGAACCCAGUCUCAGUGAUAUAGGAAACUGAAAUGCAUUCAGGUUCCUAUUAUAGCUAGUUAGGUCAAUUUUUCUGCAUUCCCUUGAGAUACAAACUUUUUGGUAACCAAAGAACAUGUUUAUUUUAUUGAGAAUUAUAAUUAGAGAUGGGGACGAAUAAAAAAAUGGCAAUUU